CAUAUUUUUCUGACACAUGACUGUCUCCAGAGCGAGGACACUCCUGUCCUCUCAGCCUGUACCAGUGAAGCACUGUUAUUAGCUCCAUUACAAUCUCUGGUUGCAAAAAUACUGGAGUGAAAGAG